AUGGUUCGUGGGCUCGGAGCUGUUUUAAGAAAAAGUGAUGGCAUCUACACCAUAAAUCUGAAGAGAGCCUGGGAGAAGCUUCUGCUGACAGCUCGUGCCAUUGUUGCCAUUGAAAUCCCAGGUGGUGAGAGUGUCAUAUAUUCCAGGA